AAGUGGCUGAUCCAAAGUGUCGGCAUAGGGUUAGAGCCGGCCGCGCAGGAUGUAUGGAGACGCGCCCAAGUGCCCUCCGGGUCUGCCUUUAUUU
rnacentral:sRNA from 1 species